UACGAAGGGGGCUAGCGUUGCUCGGAAUCACUGGGCGUAAAGGGUGCGUAGGCGGGUCUUUAAGUCAGGGGUGAAAUCCUGGAGCUCAACUCCAGAACUGCCUUUGAUACUGAAGAUCUUGAGUUCGGGAGAGGUGAGUGGAACUGCGAGUGUAGAGGUGAAAUUCGUAGAUAUUCGCAAGAACACCAGUGACGAAGGCGGCUCACUGGUCCGGUACUGACGCUGAGGUGCGAAAGCGUGGGGAGCAAACAGG
rnacentral:rRNA from 1 species